rnacentral:rRNA from 1 species
AACGAACGCUUGCGGCGCGCCUAAUACAUGCAAGUCGAACGAGAAAAUUUCUUCGGAAGUGAGUACAGUGGCGGACGGGUGAGGAACACGUAGAUAAUCUGCCUUAAAGAGGGGGAUAACUACUCGAAAGAGUAGCUAAUACCGCAUAAGACCACAGGAUCCUCGGAUCUAGGGGUUAAAGGAGCAAUUCGCUUUAAGAU